AUCACCCAGGUAUUUAAAAAAUAAAUCUCAUUCACCAGGUGUAAUACCAGUGUCAAGAACAAUUCUUUCCGGGCCCUAUACAGACAACACGAUCCGGUUGGUGAGGACACAGUAGGGAGAAAAUCAUGCAGGAGAAGAGGCUGGAGACAGGGGGGCGUGUCCAAGGCAAGCAGGCGUCUGGGGGAAGUGACGAACAAUCAAGGACGAAAUCUAAAACAGAAGAGUAGUCCAAUGCCAGACGAUCCACUCGAAGGACUUAAAAACAAGGAGCCUGGAUAGUAUGAGACAUGUUAGAGGACUGAAGGAACAAGAGAAGACAGUGAGAGAAACAAGCAGCAAAGUGCAGGUUUCAUUAAUUUUCACUGGAAGGUGUAUCUACAGUGAAAAGAAGAAACAAGACGUUCUUUAAUGUCAUCGAAAGAUUUUAGAAACUUGAAUUACAGUAUUGUCAAAAUGUUACUGACCACUCUGUAACAUAAAUAUGUUCUUGUGGAGGUACCACAGUUCCUCUGUCUCUCCAAGGCUCACCCUGCGUUCACCCUGCACAAGGGCAUCCACAAAGAAAUGUUGCUCUGCAUCUCUUCAACUACAUUUUGACUAAAAAAUUUAAGAUUAAACAAAGUUAACUGUAACAUCAUUGUGAUACAUACAGUAUGUUCUUGUUAAAGGCCCACUUGGGCUGGGAUCAAAGUUAGAUGAAUAUGCUAAAAUAUUUCUAUCCUAAGUACAGACUUCAUUGUAAUUUAUUUUCGCGCUUAUCUGAAACACUGGUCCACGAAAAACAAAAUGGCAAAUUUAAAGGAAGUCAUCAUUCUUGCACUGUUAAAGGCGACAUUCACCUUGGAAGAGGGCAUCAGGUAAAUGAAUAAAUAAUAAAUAGCCACAUCGGCUACACGGCGUUUCUAUGGCAACUGUUUUUUCAAAUCAAUCCCAAGACAAAUACUAUAAUAUGUUAACUAUAUAUUAACUGUCUUGCAAAAGUAUUUAUCAUUUACCAAUGUUUUUCUUAAUACUAAAUACUGUAUUCGUAUUUUUAAUACAUUAUGCUUAAUCAAAAGUUGAAUUCUUAAACUGAACAUUUAUUAUCUGUAAAACAAAGCAGAAAUUAAAAUCUGUUGAUUGCAUUAUUAAUAUUCUAUUAACUCCAUUUGCUCCUUCUCAAUUAGCUAAGGUGCACUGAAUUAAGGUUAAAAAAGUGGAAGGUGUAUUGUAGCACCUAAACACUGCUUAGAAUAGGUUGUGGCUCCAAACUGAGCAGCCAGGCAGGUUGAAAGUUUUUGUUUUUGAUUACAUUUUUCACUUUAAAAUGCGUAUACUGUACAUCAUCUGCAUUUUGCAAGACACUGUACCCAAAGUAACUGUAACAAAAUAGAACUAUAUCUGAUAAAGUUGUGCAUGAAGAAACAAAGUCUUCAUAUCACUUUGAAUUAUUGCCAUCUCUAUAUGUAUUAGUAAAUAUGUUUAUGUUUUAUAUAUAA